rnacentral:rRNA from 1 species
ACCGAGAUUCCCCCAGUAGCGGCGAGCGAACGGGGAGCAGCCCGGAGUCUGAAUCAGCUUGUGUGUUAGUGGAACGGUCUGGAAAGUCCGACGGUACAGGGUGAUAGUCCCGUACACGAAAACACACAUGCUGUGAACUCGAAGAGUAGGGCGGGACACGUGGUAUCCUGUCUGAAUAUGGGGGGACCAUCCUCCAAGGCUAAAUACUCCUGACUGACCGAUAGUGAACCAGUACCGUGAGGGAAAGGCG